rnacentral:lncRNA from 1 species
GCGAUGCUGUCAGUCCAGUAGCGCUCAAGAAAUUCACCGUUCGUUCUAGUCUAGAUCAUCGACGGUCCUCCAGAAUUUACUCCUGUUGGCGAGGGCUUACGGCGCAUUUUGCUGUUUUGAUAUAAAACUCACUUCGUGGCGACAACAUUGUGGUUGUACUGGACACCCAUGCUGACGACUGGCUUGACGAGGGAGACGACAGUUACAUUGCUCGCUGCGUGCAAUUUCACUGACUGGCGUCCCCAGGGGAGGUAGACCUAGCCUCACCAACUUUGACCAUGAAACACUGGCAACGAGUAAUUGCGACCCAAUCAAGAGUUUAAGUAGUUAACACACGCACAUUUCUCUUCAGAAAAGUUUGGUAGUAAACAACGGUGGCUGUCGGCUGGCACUGAGGUAGAGUAUAAAAUUCGCUUUCUCGGUCAUUGCUGGUAUCGUCGCCGCUUACUUGAUCCAAAAGUACGAGCUGUCUUCACCAUCAAGAAGAAACACGUCGAGAAAAGGAAACGGAUACAAUGGGCCACUUAUCAACCAUCGUCCUUUCUUUCAUCUUUCUGGCUGCUUUUGAAUUUCCGAACUUCCUCGCCGAGAGUUACGAUGACGUCAGAGCGGAAAUGUGUGCUGAGGCGUGUAACGUGGAGAUGCAAUGGCGGGAAAACUGUGCAGCGAAGAAAGAAUGCGACAGCAUGGCCGCCGACGCCCGCUUGACCUGUCUGGAUUCUUGCCUUCAGGAAGCAGUGCGAUGCCAGAUGGCCUGCUGGGACAACUACAGCACCAUCACGGCUGUGUGUCGGGAUCGCUGUGGGUCGGACAACGACUCCGACAACUGCUGCAAAGCCUGUUUUCUGGACAGGUUCGGAGGCUGAAGACGGCAUAGACAAGAGGUAACCAAGAGUCCGAAGCUACCUUAGAAGAUGUAAUUGAUGCAGUCAAAGACAGAAUCACCAGAAAAAAGGACGAACUACGUGAGCUGAAAGCAACCUUCAAGAUCAUCAGUUUCUGGUCAAGAAUUCAUACAAUGGUCUUGAUUCUGUUUCUAGUGCUUUGUAUUGCACUUAAAAUCUGAGGCAUAUUUAAUAUUAACUGCAAAAGUUUGGCUUUAACAAAAAUAAUUUAAUGCAAGAUGGUUGAGUGACCCUCACGUCAAAAAUGAUUAAGUGAUGCUGUGGACUUAAAGGAUUGGAAACUAUUUUUUUUUAAGAGUUCCAGUUAACAGUAGAUUGAGUUUACUGAAUAUUUGGGACGUUAAAGCAGCUGUCACGUACAGGAUUUAUUAAGCUCCACCCCAAUCUCCCCCUCCCCCCAAAUUUAACAUUUGAUUAUUCUAAUAAAAUGAAUGAUUGCUCUGGUUCAGCCAGAGUUUUUUUCUUCAAAAGAAUGUGAAACAUUUAUUUAUAAUUUGGGUUGGAUCGGUACGUCUUUUUAAAUUUUAAUUUACUCUUUCAAGUAUGCAACAUCCUUGUGAUUGCUUAACAUCUUUACAGUUUUCAGCCUGUCUGCCUUGUCUACUUAUAAUCCAUUGAAAAAUAAUAUCAGUGACGAGAAUUUGGCGAGGGGAGAAUUAAAUGACUUCUUUUGGUUGCUUUGAUAAUUGGUUUUGUAGAUCUACUACUAAAACUUGGCAAUCCACUACGAUGGUUGAACCAAGCUACCAUCAGCCAGUUCAUGUGUCAAUCAUCCGACAGGUUCUCGCUGAACUGUAUCAGCAGCAGGUAAAAUAAUCACGAACUGUGUAUGGAAUAUCCACGCUAGUAAAAAGUCACCUCAUGCGAAUGGAAAACUGUGUUUCCGUCAUUUUCUCUUUAUAGCCAAUGAAAUUUGACCACGCCAAA